GCAGCCUCGCUAAAGGGCACAUUGUUCUGCACUGAGAGGCCUCUGUGCCAUGUGUUUUGAUACACUUUAAAGUUCAUAGAAUCAGGGAGUCUGGAUUCAGAAGGGGUCUGAGAAGGUCAUUCAAAUCUGUCUUUCCUCUUCCUAUUUUAUCUUUAUACAGACAAACACAUUCAAGUCAACAAGUCAUUUUAAACAGUUACCCUGUCUAGAGUGCCUGGGACAAGAAUAAGCGAAAGGAGCCAUGAACCUAAGCCUUUGCCUGGAGUGGGCAGCAAAGCCUUUUCAGAAAAGAAUUACCUGCUCAGCAUCUCCACUUGCCUGGCCCUCUCACUUCUCCAUGGAAGAAGCUGCAGCAGAGAUAAUACGCAAACAUGUUUUGAUAUCACAUCUACAGAACUUACAGUCUCAAGAGGAACCAUGUAAACAAUUUAUCAUACAAUGAGAAAGAAUGAAACCUACUGCAGAAUUGGAACAGGGCCAUGGAAAAGUAAGCAUACAAUUUUGACCUCUUUCACAACAUCUAUUUCUUAUAUUUGAAGACUAGAAGUUAAAUGCUUUCAUGGUUUCAAAAUUAAACUGCAAAUUUUGUAUUGCUUUACAUUUCAAGCUUAAGAAAUUUAAAUAAUAGGUUAAUGAUAGUUUCCUGUUCUCCAUUACUUCAGAAGGCAAAUUUUAGGGAACUAGGGUUUUAUUGUGGUAACAAGGGAAUAAAAGAAGUAAAUACCCAUAAGCUGUGCAAUUGUAGAAUGUUAAGAUCACACAGGAUGCAAGGAUUAAAUAGCCUGCUCUCUUGUCCUAAGAAGGAGGAAACAGGCCCAGGAGAAUAGAAUGAAGUUUUAGGGUAAUUAUAAGAAAUUUUCAGUAACAGAUGAUACAACUAUAAUCAGUAUUUUCCAUGUGAAAAAGGAUGAUUUAAGUGCCUUACGAGAUUUACUUGAUUUUUUGAAACAAC
rnacentral:lncRNA from 1 species